UUUCAGCGUGAAGCGGCGCGGGGGUCGCAGGAUAAGAUGCCUCAGAUAAAUACUUUCUCCUUUGGAGCAAAGCAGAUCUGCCCUGSAAGUUGGAGACUUGCUACUUCACAAGGCUUUCAAUCAUGCACUUUGAAGACUUAAAGAAAGAUAACCUGGCACUGAAAGAUGAAGCAUUAAGCUGUGCAAGGCUUCUCAGGAGAGAACGAUGUAGAAUGUCUGUGCAAGGGAAGAAACUUUCAGCUGUUGAAGAGAAGGCCUUGCUUGACUGAAGUUUUUCAGAGUGCUUCUGGAUGUGAUGGCUGGAGUGGAGCUGUUGAGCCAUGCAGUUGGUAGCAUUGCCAGCAAAUGUAAGUUGCUUGCAAACUGAUCAUAUGCAAGGAGUUCCCUGUGGAUUUUUUUUGAUUUUAUAUUUUGGCACUCAGUUUGAGCACUCUUUGAGAAUGGAAAUUGUACAGGCAGGAAUCUUACAGGGUUGUAAUGAUGUUGCCAAAUGUCUGACCUGAAGCAAUAAUG